AACGGCGAGUGAAGCGGCAAAAGCUCAAAUUUGAAAUCUGGCCUCCUCCGGGGGCCCGAGUUGUAAUUUGCAGAGGAUGCUUCGGGUGCGGCCCCCGUCUAAGUUCCUUGGAACAGGACGUCAGUGUGGGUGUGAAUCCCGUCUUGGGCGGGCGGCCCGCGCCCGUGUGAAGCUCCUUCGACGAGUCGAGUUGUUUGGGAAUGCAGCUCUAAGCGGGUGGUAAAUUUCAUCUAAAGCUAAAUACUGGCCGGAGACCGAUAGCGCACAAGUAGAGUGAUCGAAAGGUUAAAAGCACCUUGAAAAGGGAGUUAAACAGCACGUGAAAUUGUUGAAAGGGAAGCGCUUGCGGCCAGACUCGGGGGCGGGGUUCAGCGGGCGCUCGUCGCCCGUGCACUCCCCGCGCCCCGGGCCAGCAUCAGUUUCGACGGCCGGUCAAAGGCCCCCGGAAUGUGUCGUCUCUAGGGACGUCUUAUAGCCGGGGGUGCAAUGCGGCCCGUCGGGACUGAGGAACGCGCUCCGGCUCGGAUGCUGGCGUAAUGGCCGUAAGCGGCCCGUCUUGAAACACGGACCAAGGAGUCUAACAUCCACGCGAGUGUUCGGGUGUCAAACCCGUGCGCGCAGUGAAAGCGAACGGAGGUGGGAGCCUUUGGGCGCACCAUCGACCGAUCCUGAAGUCUUCGGAUGGAUUUGAGUAGGAGCGUGGCCGUUGGGACCCGAAAGAUGGUGAACUAUGCCUGAAUAGGGUGAAGCCAGAGGAAACUCUGGUGGAGGCUCGCAGCGGUUCUGACGUGCAAAUCGAUCGUCAAAUUU
rnacentral:rRNA from 1 species